rnacentral:rRNA from 1 species
AACGUAGGUCCCGAGCGUUAUCCGGAUUUACUGGGCGUAAAGCGCGUUCAGGCGGUGGGCUAAGUCAGGCAUGAAAUCUCUCGGCUCAACCGGGCGAGGCUGUCUGAGACUGGCGCACUUGAGGGCAGUCGAGGGAGGUGGAAUUCCGGGUGUAGUGGUGAAAUGCGUAGAGAUCCGGAGGAACACCAGUGGCGAAAGCGGCCACCUGGGCUGCACCUGACGCUGACACGCGAAAGCUAGGGGAGCGAACGGGAUUAGAAACCCCCGUAGUCC